GGCGACGUAGCCAAGUGGUUAAGGCGGGAGUCUGCAAAACUCCUAUUCGGCAGUUCGAUUCUGCCCGUCGCCUCCA
rnacentral:tRNA from 3 species